rnacentral:rRNA from 1 species
CGAAGGCGUUCUGCUAGCCCGAGACUGACACUCAGGGACGAAAGCUAGGGGAGCGAAUGGGAUUAGAUACCCCAGUAGUCCUAGCCGUAAACGAUGGAUACUAGGCGUAGCUCGUAUCCACCCGAGCUCUGCCGGAGCUAACGCGUUAAGUAUCCCCUGGGGAGUACGCAGGCAACUGUGAAACUCAAAGGAAUUGACAGGGGCCCGCACAAGCGGUGGAGUAUGUGGUUUAAUUCGAUGCAACGCGAAGAACCUUACCAAGGCUUGACAUGUCACGAAUCCUGUGGAAACAUAGGAGUGCCUUCGGGAGCGUGAACACAGGUGGUGCAUGGAGCGUCAGCCGUGUCGUGAGAUGUUGGGUUAAGUCCCGCAACGAGCACAACCAUCGUAGUUAGUUGCCAGCAUUAAGUUGGGCACUCAAGAGAGACUGCCGGGUGACAAACCGGGAGGAAGGUGGGGAUGACGUCAAGUCAGCAUGCCCCUAAGUCUUGGGCUACACACGUACUACAAUGCAGACGCACAAAGGAGCAGCAACGACAGCGAUGGGAUGCGAAUCUCAUAAACACGUAGCUCAGUUCAGAUCGUAGGCCGCAACUCGCUCGUGCGUGAAGAAGGAAUCGCUAGUAUUGCAGUCAGCAGACAUGCAGUGAUCGGUUCCGAGCCUUGUACACACCCGCCGUCACACCAAUGCAGUGGUUCACGCCCGAGUUCGGUACCCACCACGUAACGAGGGGAGGACCUAAGUAGACUGAUGAUCUGGCGUUGU